GGAUCGGUAGCUUAGUUGGUAAAUCACUUGUUCAGCGUUAAAAAGGGCCGUGAGUUCAAAUCUCACCUGAGCUG
rnacentral:tRNA from 1 species